rnacentral:rRNA from 1 species
GAUGAACGCUAGCGGCAGGCUUAACACAUGCAAGUCGAGGGGCAGCAUGAGACGGAGAUUCGUCGAAGUCUUGAUGGCGACCGGCGCAAGGGUGCGUAACGCGUGAGCAACUUGCCCGUUUCUGGGGAAUAACCGGUGGAAACGCCGACUAAUACCCCAUAGUAUGUUUUUAAGGCAUCUUUUAAACAUUAAAGAAUUUCGGAAACGGAUAGGCUCGCGUGACAUUAGCUAGAUGGCGGGGUAACGGCCCACCAUGGCGACGAUGUCUAGGGGUUCUGAGAGGAAGGUCCCCCCANACUGGAACUGAGACACGGUCCAGACUCCUACGGGAGGCAGCAGUGAGGAAUAUUGGUCAAUGGUCGGAAGACUGAACCAGCCAAGUAGCGUGAAGGAUGAAGGUUCUAUGGAUUGUAAACUUCUUUUAUACGGGAAUAAAACCUCCACGUGUGGGAGCUUGUAUGUACCGUAUGAAUAAGCAUCGGCUAAUUCCGUG